rnacentral:rRNA from 1 species
CCCUUAGAUGUUCUGGGCCGCACGCGCGCUACACUGAUGAAUGCAACGAGCUCUACCCUUGACCGAAAGGCCCGGGUAAACUUGUGAAACUUCAUCGUGAUGGGGAUAGAUUAUUGCAAUUAUUAAUCUUCAACGAGGAAUUCCUAGUAAGCGCGAGUCAUCAGCUCGCGUUGAUUACGUCCCUGCCCUUUGUACACACCGCCCGUCGCUCCUACCGAUUGAAUGGUCCGGUGAAAUCUUCGGAUUGCUGACCAAGAUCCAGCAAUGGAGCUUGGUUGCGAGAAGUUGAUUAAACCUUAUUAUUUAGAGGAAGGAGAAGUCGUAACG